rnacentral:rRNA from 1 species
GACGAACGCCGGCGGCGUGCUUCAUACAUGCAAGUCGAACGAGAAGUUACCUUCGGGUAAUGGAAAGUGGCGGACGGGUGAGUAAUAUGUAGAGAAUCUGCCCUUGAGAGGGGGACAACAGAGGGAAACUUCUGCUAAUACCCCAUAUGAGCGUAGCUGAAAUGCUAUUCUUGAAAACUCCGGUGCUCAAGGAUGAGUCUGCAUCUGAUUAGCUAGUUGGUGGUGUAAUGGACUACCAAGGCGACGAUCAGUAGCUGGUUUGAGAGGAUGAUCAGCCACAAUGGGACUGAGACACGGCCCAU